CUUGAUGAUGAUUCUUCUUCUCCCCUUGACUCUGUGGAGGAGGAAGAAGGACACUAUGGAGGCUGAACCUGCAGAAGCAAUGGAGUUAAACUCUGAUCCUGCGUACGAGAACAUCUCAGCCGUCACUGCAGCACAGAGAGAAGACAGAGAGGAGCAGGAAGAUGCUGUAUGAAGUCCUCAGGUUAGAGCCUCCUGCACUGAAUAAACAGAGCCACUGUAGAUUAACAGUCAUCUAUGUCACAUGUUACAACCAUACUAUACCAGUAUUCCAUUCACUUUUCUGUCAUGUUCUUUAAAUGCUGUUGAAUCAGGAGAAGACUUCCUGUGGAGAAGUGGGGACAUUUGCCUUCAGCUGCUGUAGGCUGAUAUGAAUUCAUGUUAAAUUGUUACUGAGAGACAAAA